GAGGAAGGAAAAACCAAUGGGAGUGUUCGGCAAUCCACAAGCCAUUGGACCUAAUUUUUUAUGAUUUUAGUAGGCGGGGUUAACUUGUAACUAAUAAGGGCAUGAAGCUAGCUACCGCCUUUUUCUUCCAUUAGGUCCCAUGCACGCUGCAUUUUUUUUGUCCAUCCAACAUAUAUCUCCUUGUGCUUUCUCGUUUUAAGUUACUCUUGCUGGACGUCCAAGAACCAUUAAGAUUUCUGAGGAAUCUAAUGUUUUUCCAUCUUGGAAAUCCUCGAGGAAAUCUUUACCAAAGC
rnacentral:lncRNA from 1 species